GCCUAACACAUGCAAGUCGAGCGGCAGCAUGCUUAGUAGCAAUACUAAGUGAUGGCGAGCGGCGGACGGGUGAGGAACACGUAGGAACCUGCCCAAGAGAGGGGGACAACCAAUGGAAACGUUGGCUAAUACCGCAUAAUCUCUUAGGAGAAAAGUUGCCCGUAAGGGUAGUGCUUUUGGAGGGGCCUGCGUCCGAUUAGCUAGUUGGUGAGGUAAUGGCUCACCAAGGCUGUGAUCGGUAACUGGUCUGAGAGGACGACCAGUCACACUGGGACUGAGACACGGCCCAGACUCCUACGGGAGGCAGCAGUGGGGAAUCUUGGACAAUGGGGGCAACCCUGAUCCAGCGAUGCCGCGUGGGUGAAGAAGGCCUUCGGGUUGUAAAGCCCUUUAGGCUGGGACGAAGGAUGUGGGACGAAUAAUCCUGCAUUUUGACGGUACCAGCAGAAUAAGCACCGGCAAACUCUGUGCCAGCAGCCGCGGUAAGAC
rnacentral:rRNA from 1 species